rnacentral:lncRNA from 1 species
UUUUUUUUUAUGUUUUGGGUUUACACUGUUUUUGUGAGUUGUAACGCUUAUCACGAAAGUCUGCAGUUUCAGUCUUGAGGUUAGCGAGACUACAAAACCACCAGGAAGAACGAACGAUUCCAGACGCGCUACCUUGAGAACUGUAACACUCACGGAGAAAGUCUGUAGCUUCGUUUCUGAACGAGCGAGACCACCGAAUCCACCGGACGGAAAAAACUCUCAACACAUCCGAAUAUGGGAAGGAGCAAACUCCAGAAACGCGCCUUUAAGAACUAAGUAACACUCAACUGCGAGGGUCUGCGGCUUCAUUUUUGAAGUCAGACCGAGAACCUACGGAUUCCGGACACAAGUCCAGCUCGUCCAGAACCCCUGGCUGCCAGCACAUUCUCCUGUUGGGCUGACCCAGAUCCUCCUGGCUGCAGUGGACGGGAGGACGCUGAGAAAAGCAGCACAGAUAGAGACACCAAGAAAAUCAGCAUCCUGGCCAUGCCUCACAGGUCAUCAAGGCCCUCAGCAUGGUCACCCAAGGAGGCUGAGCCCUCUGUAACCUGGCCAGCUUCAGUUCCCGGAACGUUUGCUGAAACUGUCAGCAAGCACAUGGAUUUCAAUGCAAUUACAAAAGCUAUAAGAACAAGAAGUGCAUUCAUUCAUUAGCAAAUUACACUAAAUUAUCUUAGCAAAUAAGGCAAAAUGUCAGUCAGUGGCUGGCAGGCUCUGCAGACACAUCAGUCCCUCUUCCCCACCUCCAACAAUGGUGCCACACUCUGCAGGGACUUUUUAGGAGAGGAUAUUGCAACAUGAGGAGCAGGAAGGAAACAGAAUAGAGUGUAGACCAGCACCCAGGGAGCAUGCUGGCCUGUAAAUUAGGGUGGGUAGGUAGGUAGGCAGGUGGACUUCAGAUAGGUGAGUUUUGAGACUGAGGAAGAACUAGAGGCCAGAGAGCUGCAAGGAGGAGGGUGGGGGUGGUAG